UACGUAGGGUGCGAGCGUUGUCCGGAAUUAUUGGGCGUAAAGAGCUCGUAGGCGGUUUGUUGCGUCGACUGUGAAAACUUGGGGCUUAACUCUGGGCUUGCAGUCGAUACGGGCAGACUUGAGUUCGGUAGGGGAGACUGGAAUUCCUGGUGUAGCGGUGAAAUGCGCAGAUAUCAGGAGGAACACCGGUGGCGAAGGCGGGUCUCUGGGCCGAUACUGACGCUGAGGAGCGAAAGCGUGGGGAGCGAACAGG
rnacentral:rRNA from 1 species